UGUUGUAGGCUCUCUGCCAAAAAGUCUCAGUUUAAUUACGUUUCAGAAACUUUGUAUUUUUUUCAGGCGUCCGUGCAGGAGAUCAAAGAAAAAUGCUGAGCUGUGAAAAUCAGGAAUGUCCUGCAGAAAACAGGACAGUUGGGAGCGUCAUGACAUUCCCCAGCCCACCACCAAAGGAAAAGAAAAAGAAUUUCUUUGAAGAGAUCAUGACACUCACUGGAAUUUUUUUCUAUAUCAUGUUCACCUCAACUAAUGUGACAAAGUAGAUGUUGGAACUCUCCUGUAGUCCAGCCUAGGAACGCCUGGACUCCUUCACCUGGGACAAAAUAUAGCAGAUCUCUCAUUCCACUGAAGCCCAGCAUAUAGCGUCCAGGGCCUCCAGUUGUAGAGCUGCUCACCAAGUGCAGUCCCUGCCACAAAUAACACGUACACAGAGGCAAAUAGGAAUUUCACCCAAGGGGUUUCAAUAGGACAUGACAUAAACCUGGAACACCAAGGAUGACAAAUCAGCAGCAGCUAUCAAAGUACAGCAAGCAAUAAGGAAAAGCUGUUUUAUUGUCACACCACAGAAGGUGGGUUUUACCUGUUCUAACAGUUAAGCAUAGUACAACAGUUUUUAAAGAACUAAAACUCUCACAGAUAUACAGUGACAAUGGCAUGCUAGACCUGCUAGCUUUACAACUGCUACAAUGACAUUUUAGUAUUCGUUGUGGGUUAAAGUGUAGGCUUGCUUAUAUAGUACGCAACUGCUGCUUUCUACAUCCCUGGUGUUAUUAGUUAAAUAUCACAGUUACUUAGACACUUCACUUUAUUAAUACAUAUGUUCAAUACCGUUUUGCUUAUUCAGGACUAUCCCAAAAGUCUUUGCACUAAAAUACAUUAAACAGCAGAUAGCUACAUUGAGAUUGGCAUCUUUCAUUGCUGACUCCAUGGAACAUGGUCUUCCCGCAUAACAGUUGUGGUACUGUGGAAAUAUGCGCAGAAGCUGCAUUCAUUAAUUAAUUUUAAAAUAACGACUUAAUUUGAUCAGAUAAUUUAGGACUAUUGUUGCUAAAUUUCUGAUAAUUUGUUUUUGGUUGAUAAUUUCAUUCUUCUAUAUGCAUGUGCAGGAAAUUUGAGAUGUGUUUAUUAAUCAGUGCAAGGGAUUCAGUACUUGAGACCGCAAGUCACGCAAUUUGUAAUAAAUGUAAUCGGUCGCUCAAUAGAUCUUGAAAACAUAUUCCAAUUUGAGGGAAAUUGUCUAAAUAGAUUGAUAACUUACUUUAAAUUAUAAGAUUGAGUUCAUGUAAACUACACCAGUCUCAGAUAGGUCCCUUACCCUUUUGUUAAUCUACUCUGGAAACUAGCCUAAAAUCUAACUAGUGUUACCCUAUCACAGCAACCACGAGAUUAUCAUAUGGGAUGCAUUCACAAAAGCAGCUG